rnacentral:rRNA from 1 species
AAAAAAAGAAAAAGUGCUUACUGCAUUUUUUCUUACACAUGUGUUUUUCUUUUUUUGAAAACUUUGCUUUGGUAGGCCUUCUAUAUGGGGCCUGCCAGAGAUUAAACUCAACCAAAUUUUAUUUAAUGUCAACCGAUUAUUUAAUAGUCAAAACUUUCAACAACGGAUCUCUUGGUUCUCGCAUCGAUGAAGAACGCAGCGAAAUGCGAUAAGUAAUAUGAAUUGCAGAUAUUCGUGAAUCAUCGAAUCUUUGAACGCACAUUGCGCCCUUUGGUAUUCCAAAGGGCAUGCCUGUUUGAGCGUCAUUUCUCCCUCAAACCCUCGGGUUUGGUGUUGAGCGAUACGCUGGGUUUGCUUGAAAGAAAGGCGGAGUAUAAACUAAUGGAUAGGUUUUUUCCACUCAUUGGUACAAACUCCAAAACUUCUUCCAAAUUCGACCUCAAAUCAGGUAGGACUACCCGCUGAACUUAAGCAUAUCAAUAAGCGGAGGAAA